CUGGAAGCGGCCCGGUUCUGUGUCAUUUCUCCCGGAGAGACACCGAGCGGAUAGACCCGAGCGGGUGGGCACGGGUCGGGAGCCGCCGGUGCGGGGCUGCAGCGGGUGCGUGACUUGCGAGGAGCCGAAGCCGUUCGGCCAUCGGUUCUCGCUGUGCUGGCUCGGGACGCUGAGGUACCAGCUGUUGUUCUGAGCUGCCUUUUAAUAAAGCCUGUCCUUUAUUUUCAGGCUCAGCAUGUCCCUCCCAGCAAAGAGAUGUGGAAGGCCCCCAGUGCUGUCUUUUCUGGAAAAGAAAAAGAGAAAGUGAAGUCUUGAUAGAAGAAGGGGGAAAACAAGGAUUUAUGUGGGAAAUCACAUUGACCGGUAGCUGACGCUCAAGGAGAAGUUGGAUCUCAGAAAUGACACAGAAGUCGCAGGGUUUUUACUGGAUAUGACAGCUACAACCUGUUGGCAAAAGCUCUGCUCUGUCCCCUCUGAGGGUGCAAGAAGGAUCACUGGGGAGGAAGAAAGAGCAUUGUCAGCCAGCACUCCUUUAAUAGCAGCAGAUGGAAUUAGGUGAACGAGUUGGGGUUUGGAAAGCAAUUCUGUGGCAGAGAAGAAUCCUUGGAAGCUAGGUCAGGAGCAAAUAAAUACCAGUGCUGAUGAAGCUGAAAAAUUCAGGGUGAGCAGCAAGAAGAAAAUCAAGCUCUUGCAUAAUGAUACAGGGGCAAUUUUUGCUCCAUUUUGAUUUUGCUAUGAGGAUCUUGUGAACUGUACAGAAUUCCUAGAUGGAGUAAGAGCAGUACUGGCAGUAACUGGAGUUCUACAGAACGGUGUUGGCAGUUCUGAAUGUUUUGUAGUUACCAAGUGUGAGUAAUCCUGGAGAGGUUUUGAACCAAGAACUUGAGGUUGGUCCAGCAUUCAGGGUAUUCAAUGUUUGGUUUUAUCAGAAGCACAGAAACUUCCAGUGUUCUGAUAUGAACUUUUUUUUCUUUAACCACACACUUGCAUAAGCUUUCAGGUCUUGAUCUUACAGUAUUCAAGCCAGCUGGGCUUUCCCACCAGCUUACACUGAACAGCCUCACUGU